rnacentral:rRNA from 1 species
UGAGUGUACCUUUCGAAUAAGCACCGGCUAACUACGUGCCAGCAGCCGCGGUAAUACGUAGGGUGCAAGCGUUAUCCGGAAUUAUUGGGCGUAAAGGGCUCGUAGGCGGUUCGUCGCGUCCGGUGUGAAAGUCCAUCGCUUAACGGUGGAUCUGCGCCGGGUACGGGCGGGCUGGAGUGCGGUAGGGGAGACUGGAAUUCCCGGUGUAACGGUGGAAUGUGUAGAUAUCGGGAAGAACACCAAUGGCGAAGGCAGGUCUCUGGGCCGUUACUGACGCUGAGGAGCGAAAGCGUGGGGAGCGAACAGGAUUAGAUACCCUGGUAGUCCACGCCGUAAACGGUGGAUGCUGGAUGUGGGGCCCGUUCCACGGGUUCCGUGUCGGAGCUAACGCGUUAAGCAUCCCGCCUGGGGAGUACGGCCGCAAGGCUAAAACUCAAAGAAAUUGACGGGGGCCCGCACAAGCGGCGGAGCAUGCGGAUUAAUUCGAUGCAACGCGAAGAACCUUACCUGGGCUUGACAUGUUCCCGACGAGAUGUUGGGUUAAGUCCCGCAACGAGCGCAACCCUCGCCCUGUGUUGCCAGCGCGUCAUGGCGGGAACUCACGGGGGACCGCCGGGGUCAACUCGGAGGAAGGUGGGGAUGACGUCAGAUCAUCAUGCCCCUUACGUCCAGGGCUUCACGCAUGCUACAAUGGCCGGUACAACGGGAUGCGACAUGGCGACAUGGAGCGGAUCCCUGAAAACCGGUCUCAGUUCGGAUUGGAGUCUGCAACCCGACUCCAUGAAGGCGGAGUCGCUAGUAAUCGCGGAUCAGCAACGCCGCGGUGAAUGCGUUCCCGGGCCUUGUACACACCGCCCGUCAAGUCAUGAAAGUGGGUAGCACCCGAAGCCGGUGGCCUAACCCCUUGUGGGAUGGAGCCGUCUAAGGUGAGACUCGUGAUUGGGACUAAGUCGUAACAAGGUAGCCGUACCGGAAGGUGCGGCUGGAUCACCUCCUUU